AGUGAACGCUGGCGGUAGGCCUAACACAUGCAAGUCGAACGGCAGCACAGUAAGAGCUUGCUCUUACGGGUGGCGAGUGGCGGACGGGUGAGGAAUACAUCGGAAUCUACUUUUUCGUGGGGGAUAACGUAGGGAAACUUACGCUAAUACCGCAUACGACCUACGGGUGAAAGCAGGGGAUCUUCGGACCUUGCGCGAUUGAAUGAGCCGAUGUCGGAUUAGCUAGUUGGCGGGGUAAAGGCCCACCAAGGCGACGAUCCGUAGCUGGUCUGAGAGGAUGAUCAGCCACACUGGAACUGAGACACGGUCCAGACUCCUACGGGAGGCAGCAGUGGGGAAUAUUGGACAAUGGGCGCAAGCCUGAUCCAGCCAUACCGCGUGGGUGAAGAAGGCCUUCGGGUUGUAAAGCCCUUUUGUUGGGAAAGAAAAGCAGCAGGUUAAUACCCCGCCGUUCUGACGGUACCCAAAGAAUAAGCACCGGCUAACCUCGUG
rnacentral:rRNA from 1 species